rnacentral:rRNA from 1 species
GGCUACUACAUCCAAGGAAGGCAGCAGGCGCGCAAAUUACCCAAUCCCGACACGGGGAGGUAGUGACAAUAAAUACUGAUACAGGGCUCUUUUGGGUCUUGUAAUUGGAAUGAGUACAAUUUAAAUCCCUUAACGAGGAACAAUUGGAGGGCAAGUCUGGUGCCAGCAGCCGCGGUAAUUCCAGCUCCAAUAGCGUAUAUUAAAGUUGUUGUGGUUAAAAAGCUCGUAGUUGAACCUUGGGCCUGGCUGGCCGGUCCGCCUCACCGCGUGUACUGGUCCGGCCGGGCCUUUCCCUCUGUGGAACCUCAUGCCCUUCACUGGGUGUGACGGGGAAACAGGACUUUUACUUUGAAAAAAUUAGAGUGCUCCAGGCAGGCCUAUGCUCGAAUACAUUAGCAUGGAAUAAUGAAAUAGGACGUGUGGUUCUAUUUUGUUGGUUUCUAGGACCGCCGUAAUGAUUAAUAGGGACAGUCGGGGGCAUCAGU